UAAUAGCGUAUAUUAAAGUUGUUGCAGUUAAAAAGCUCGUAGUUGGAUUUCUGGUGGGAGCGAUCGGUCUGGCGCUUAGCGCGAGUACUUGCAUCGUCUCCGGCCAUCCUUGGGGAGAGUCUGUCUGGCAUUAAGUUGUCGGGCAGAGGAUCCUCAUCGUUUACUGUGAAAAAAUUAGAGUGUUCAAAGCAGGCUUAUGCCGUUGAAUAUAUUAGCAUGGAAUAAUAAGAUAGGACUUUGGUACUAUUUUGUUGGUUUGCGCACCAAAGUAAUGAUUAAUAGGGACAGUUGGGGGUAUUCGUAUUCCGUUGUCAGAGGUGAAAUUCUUGGAUUUACGGAAGACGAACUACUGCGAAAGCAUUUACCAAGGAUGUUUUCAUUAA
rnacentral:rRNA from 1 species